rnacentral:rRNA from 1 species
GACGAACGCUGGCGGCGUGCUUAACACAUGCAAGUCGAACGAAGUGGCGAACGGGUGAGUAACGCGUAAUCAACCUGCCCUACAGAGGGGGACAACAGUUGGAACCGACUGCUAAUACCGCAUACUGAAGGAGGGGAUUGCGUCUGAUUGGCUAGGUGGGGGGGUAGCGGCCCACCAAGGCGAUGAUCAGUAGCCGGGCGGAGAGGAUGAACGGCCACAUUGGGACUGAGACACGGCCCAGACUUCUACGGGAGGCAGCAGGGGGGAAUCUUCCGCCAUGGACGAAAGUCUGACGGAGCAACGCCGCGGGAAUGAUGACGGCCUUCGGGUUGGAAAGCUCUGUUAAUCGGGACGCGGUACCGGAAUAGAAAGCCACGGCUAACUACGUGCCAGCAGCCGCGGUAAUAC